rnacentral:lncRNA from 1 species
AUGUGAUAACGGUUAUUAUCAUAUACUUAGACUAAAUAACAUAUAAAUUUUACCGUAUGAUAAUAGCAUUAAAUUGACGUAAUUCCUAUUUUUCGAAUUGGUGCUUAGCGGGCUGAUAUGAAAAGUUUAUCACAUGCUUCGAUUGUUAUCACAUGCCUUUCCGUAACGUUAUCACAUGGCAUUCCGGUAAUGCUCGGCCAAUUCCGGAAAAUACACCUUUAUGUUACGUUUUCAGUGAAAAACAUUACAAAGUAGUGUACAAAAUAAUUUCUUGAAUACUGGAAAGUAUAUUGUUUAAAUUAAUAAAAAAAAAAAACAAAAAAAAAACC